rnacentral:lncRNA from 1 species
AAGCCGUAAGACUAAUCAGAAUCCUGGGAUAUAUCCCCUAACUCAGUCCAGGUGGUUUCCUUGGAGAACAUGGUAAUUUUUGUUUUUAUAGGAAACCUUUAAUCCUGAAACACUUGUGAAGUUCUCAUGGGGACAAUCGUGAUACAUUUAAAGGAUCAGUCUGUCUUCUUCAAGGAUGAAAGACAGCUUCUUCUUUAUUAGGAUGGGAUUUUUGGUGCAGGGAGACUGAGGAAAAUGUUGCUAACUUUCAUUAUUUUGAUUCCAUAGAAAGUGAACAUAACUGACUUCAUUGGGGCUGUCACUGAGUUGCACCAAGCUCAUUGGUGAGAUUGGAAGAUGCUGUCCUUUCCCCGCAGAGUGGUAUUUACUUAUCAGCAGGACUGCAUAGACCUUCAGACCAGUCAGCUUCUUUCAAGCUGAUGAUUAGAGUAUAGGAUGAAUUCAGAAUUCAGGUGAGGUGAACCUUAUUAUAUUAACUUUGUGACUAAACAUGGCUUAAUUAAUUAAAACUGUUUUAAGGGACUGUAGUGGGUUUACGUGGCAAGGUUUUGGUAGCAGGGGGCCAUAGGGGUGGCUUCUGUGAGAAGAAUCUAGAAGCUGCCCCAUGUUUGGUAAGGGC